GUCGAGAAUAAUUCACAAUGGGCGCAAGCCUGAUCUAGCCAUGCCGCGUGAGCGAUGAAGGCCUUAGGGUUGUAAAGCUCUUUCAGUGGGGAAGAUAAUGACUGUACCCACAGAAGAAGCCCCGGCUAACUCCGUGCCAGCAGCCGCGGUAAUACGGAGGGGGCUAGCGUUGUUCGGAAUUACUGGGCGUAAAGCGCACGUAGGCGGACUGGAAAGUCAGGGGUGAAAUCCCGGGGCUCAACCCCGGAACUGCCUUUGAAACUCCCAGUCUUGAGGUCGAGAGAGGUGAGUGGAAUUCCGAGUGUAGAGGUGAAAUUCGUAGAUAUUCGGAGGAACACCAGUGGCGAAGGCGGCUCACUGGCUCGAUACUGACGCUGAGGUGCGAAAGCGUGGGGAGCAAACAGGAUUAGAUACCCCGGUAGUCC
rnacentral:rRNA from 1 species